UACGUAGGGGGCGAGCGUUGUCCGGAUUUAUUGGGCGUAAAGCGCCCGCAGGCGGUCGCGUCAGUUUGGGGUGACAGCUCCUGGCUUAACCGGGAGAGGACCUCGAAGACGGCGUGACUUGAGGGCCAGAGAGGGACAUGGAACUCCGGGUGGAGUGGUGAAAUGCGUAGAGAUCCGGAAGAACACCAAAGGCGAAGGCAGUGUCCUGGCUGGCACCUGACGCUGAGGGGCGAAAGCGAGGGGAGCGAACGGG
rnacentral:rRNA from 1 species